GACGUAGGGGGCCAGCGUUGUUCGGAAUUACUGGGUGUAAAGGGUUCGUAGGCGGUGUGGCAAGUUGGGAGUGAAAUCUCUGGGCUCAACCCAGAGGCUGCUUCCAAAACUGCCAUGCUUGAGUGUGGGAGAGGCGCGUGGAAUUGCAGGUGUAGCGGUGAAAUGCGUAGAUAUCUGCAGGAACACCCGUGGCGAAAGCGGCGCGCUGGACCGGCAUUGACGCUGAGGAGCGAAAGCUAGGGGAGCAAACGGG
rnacentral:rRNA from 1 species